GCCACAUCGGGGCCUGUCUGACUCACAUUACGGAAAGCCCCUGGAGUGGGCUCAGCGUGCGGCCUCUGAAUCACGCAUUCCACCUGCUGCAACUCAGAACUCCGUCAGCGCCCCUUCUUCGGACCUCUUUGUAGAAAGAAAUCCACUGAAGGAAAGCAUCCGUGUUUACAAACUGCCUAAAGGUGAGGCCGGAGAGAGAAAGACACUUUCCC